CUCAAUAAGAAACAGAAUGACCUGACAGAGACAGUGAAGACACACAGGUCAAACUCCUCAGGGUUCAAAUGGCGUAGGUCCUCCAGCAGACGGAAAGAGAGAGACCCAGUUCAGAACGAGAGAGAGGUACUAGCCUAUCUAUAGUACGCCAGGUGAGAGAGGGGAGGCCGCUUGCCCGCUCUGCCCAUCCGUGCCCUCCUCUUCCAAAAUGGACGGAUGAACAGACCACAUAGCAGCGAUGCCACUCCCCCAGGCAGUACAUCCCUCUCUCUCCCUUCCCUCUCUCCUCUCCACUCUCCGCCCAUCUGCUUCUCCUCCCAUAAACAAGGUGACGUAGUGAAGAGUGCUGCCAGAGAGCCUCCUCGCCUGCUGCUGCUGGAUCCACAGCCUUUCUGCCAGCCUCCUCACCAGACGGUCUGUGACCUCCAGAUCAACAUCCAUCUAUCCACACACCCCACUGGAGCAGCGCAGCUCCUCCAGACCCCUGGGCACCGGGACCACUCCUCUCACCUCCCUCCGUCACCAGCCCACCACCACUCUCUAUCCUCUGCACCACCCAUCUGUCCACCUGUCCUAGAGUACGCUCUCGCCCCUCACUGCCUAGCGCCCAAGCCCACAGAGCCCAGCCCGCCCCAGCAUGGAUAAGGUGCAGCACACGAUGCGCUCGGCCAUCCGCAGAGCCUCCAUGGCGGUGGACGUGCCCCCCCAGGCCAGGCAGAACAUGCAGGAGCUCUUUGUCAACUUCAGCCUCAUCCUCAUCUGCCUGCUGCUCAUCUACAUCAUCGUGUUGUUGAUACCUCUGUAGCUGAACCAACAACCACCACAGCACAGCCACAGUGAGGGCUAAGCAGGGAGAUGUAAUCUGCAUCCAUCCAAUCAUCCAUCCAUCACUAGCCUUCCUGGGGAACCUUCCAGAAGACCCCCCCCCCCAGAAAUUGAUCACUCUGCCUGGGGUAUCUGCAGCCUGAACCCAGCCUCCUCCAUGGAUCUGGUCAACGACCGCGGCUUCAACCUGAUGCUCAACUUCCUUCUCAUCGUCAUCGUGCUGCUCCUCAUGCUUGUCCUGGUCAAGCUCAUGUAACCUCUGACAUCUAACCUCAUGGCUUACAGUAGUUAGGUUGAGCAAUUCCAGUCCCCAAGGGCCACAGGGUCUGAUGGGAGUCCCUCUACCUCUGAUUUGAUCAUAUAAAUACACCAUGGCUUUGACUAAUUACUAUUCAACAGUUCAUCCACAGCAUCAAAUCACUGAAUAAAGGCUGCGAACCUGCUGGAUUAGAAUCCAAGAUCUUGAGCUGUUGGAGAGAAGAAAAGUCUGGGAUUCCGUGAGAUCGUAACAUGAGACGGCAAGAUUCAAAAUAUGACAGGAGGAUGAAGCUCCAUCCACCGAUGGUAGAGAAUGUAAAAAAUGUUGGCAUGGGAGAAUCAAUAGCAUGCCCUCCUUCCAUUUAGCUUGACCUCCCUCUAGUGGUAGAAUCACCUAACUGCACCACAUUUCAUUCUGGCCAGUGAUUUUAUCCAAAGUCAUGCGUGCAUACAUUUUACGUAUGGGUUUAUAUGAGCCAUAGAGAACAAGCUCUUUAAAGCUUUAACAAUCACAGUCAGACUAUUAAGACCGAAGCACAGAACACGCAUGAUGCAACUGACAAAUGAAAUGGAACUGAAAAUGAUUAAACCUGCCAUGUGUAACUUUUUUGGCUGACCCUACACAAUUCACAUAGAAAUGUGAGUUAUAGAUCUGUCAUUCUGAUCGAAAGCUAGUCUAAUCUGUUCCAUGUGUGCUAUUUCUAUGGUUCCAAUUUUUGUCUUUUACUUUCUGUUUCAAACGACUGAAAAUACUAUUUUAAAAUAUAUAUUUCACAGCGGUUUAGAUGGUACAAUGAUUCUCUACACUAUAUUUUCUUGUUUUGCCACAAACUGAAAUUAGGAAAACUAGUAUGCAAUCUUUAAAGGCCCAGUGUAUUCAAAAACGUGAUAAUCCUAUGUUUUAUAUAUAUAUUUCCACACAAUGAGGUUGGAAUAAUACUGUAAUAUUGUGAAAAUGAUGAUAAUGCCCUAGAGCUGUUUAAAAGGAUUGCCUAAAAUUUCUGCCUGUUUUGGUGGGAUGGAGUUUUGGCCUUCUAUGAUGACAUCACCAUGGGGUAAAUUAGAUAAUAGACCAAUGAGAAAGAAGAGUUCCAAACCUCUCUGAAAAUAACAGCUCAUUUUCAGUUUCCCCCUCCCCACUCAGACCACUCCCAGACAGUCCUAGCAAAAUUCUUGCUUGAGAAAUUGCCCUUUCCUAAGAAGCCAUUUUUUGUUUAUUUUUUUAAAUGAAAACAAUCACAAGUUAGGUGCUUAAUUGUUACCCAGAAAUGAUUUGAUGUUGAGAUAAAAACAGCUGCAUAUGACCUUUAAAGUUAUCAGUCCUUUGUGGUGCGAUAUCAUCUCUUUAUGCUGCACUCACAGAGUAACAGUUGAGUUAGGCCCUUUGGAGACAGUUUGCAUCUUUUUGUGUCCAGUUGCUUUUGAACACAGGAGUUUUUAGCAUAUUCACACUGGAUAGUAGAUAAGUACAACACAUUCUUCCCUCAUAAAAAUGUGUAUGUAGUGUAAACUGUUCGGGGAGAGAUAUAAUAUUGUUAUUGCGAUAUCCUAACAUAAUUGUGUGCUGUAAAUGUUUUAGUGUCCAGUAGUAAGAGGCGACUCAUUUAUUUUUGGCAGAGUAAGACACAAACAGAGUAAAUGCACCAAACGCGUCCAGCUCUCUGAAGAUGAAACUACUGUAGAACGGUUGUCUAUCUGCAGGUACUGGUUCCACUGUUCACUCUCUUAUGCACACAACGCAUUUUGUAAAGAAUGUUAUAAGAUAAAGGUCAAAUACACAAACCAUAAA